rnacentral:rRNA from 1 species
UGACAGUACUCCUACGGGGAGGCAGCAGUGGGGGAAUAUUGCACAAUGGGCGCAAGCCUGAUGCAGCCAUGCCGCGUGUGUGAAGAAGGACCUUCGGGUUGUUAAAGCACUUUCAGUCGUGAGGAAGGUAGUGUAGUUAAUAGCUGCAUUAUUUGACGUUAGCGACAGAAGAAGCACCGGCUAACUCCGUGCCAGCAGCCGCGGUAAUACGGAGGGUGCGAGCGUUAAUCGGAAUUACUGGGCGUAAAGCGCAUGCAGGUGGUUUGUUAAGUCAGAUGUGAAAGCCCGGGGCUCAACCUCGGAAUAGCAUUUGAAACUGGCAGACUAGAGUACUGUAGAGGGGGGUAGGAAUUUCAGGUGUAGCGGUGAAAUGCGUAGAGAUCUGAAGGAAUACCGGUGGCGAAGGCGGCCCCCUGGACAGAUACUGACACUCAGAUGCGAAAGCGUGGGGAGCAAACAGGAUUAGAUACCCUGGUAG